rnacentral:rRNA from 1 species
AUGCGUUUCUUCCAGGAAUUUUAUGAACUGGGCAGCAACUUUCACGGCAUCAAUGUAGCAAACAUUGUGCUCAUACCUAAGAAAGAAGCACCAACGGAUAUCAGAGAUUUCCGCCCCAUCUCCUUGGUACACAGCUUGCCCAAGCUGAUAACCAAAGUGCUUGCUGCACGACUGCAACGCCUCAUCCCAGCCAUGAUUCAUCCGCUGCAGUCGGGUUUUUUA